rnacentral:rRNA from 1 species
GAACGCUGAAGCACCAGCUUGCUGGUGUGGAUGAGUGGCGAACGGGUGAGUAAUACGUGAGUAACCUGCCCUUGACUCUGGGAUAAGCCCGGGAAACUGGGUCUAAUACUGGAUGCUACAUGUCACCGCAUGGUGGUGUGUGGAAAGGGUUUACUGGUCUUGGAUGGGCUCACGGCCUAUCAGCUUGUUGGUGAGGUAAUGGCUCACCAAGGCGACGACGGGUAGCCGGCCUGAGAGGGUGACCGGCCACACUGGGACUGAGACACGGCCCAGACUCCUACGGGAGGCAGCAGUGGGGAAUAUUGCACAAUGGGCGAAAGCCUGAUGCAGCGACGCCGCGUGAGGGAUGACGGCCUUCGGGUUGUAAACCUCUUUCAGCAGGGAAGAAGCCACAAGUGACGGUACCUGCAGAAGAAGCGCCGGCUAACUACGUGCCAGCAGCCGCGGUAAUACGUAGGGCGCAAGCGUUGUCCGGAAUUAUUGGGCGUAAAGAGCUCGUAGGCGGUUUGUCGCGUCUGCUGUGAAAGCCCGGGGCUUAACCCCGGGUGUGCAGUGGGUACGGGCAGACUAGAGUGCAGUAGGGGAGACUGGAAUUCCUGGUGUAGCGGUGGAAUGCGCAGAUAUCAGGAGGAACACCGAUGGCGAAGGCAGGUCUCUGGGCUGUUACUGACGCUGAGGAGCGAAAGCAUGGGGAGCGAACAGGAUUAGAUACCCUGGUAGUCCAUGCCGUAAACGUUGGGCACUAGGUGUGGGGGACAUUCCACGUUUUCCGCGCCGUAGCUAACGCAUUAAGUGCCCCGCCUGGGGAGUACGGCCGCAAGGCUAAAACUCAAAGGAAUUGACGGGGGCCCGCA